CUUGCUAUCACUAAGAGAUGGUCCCGCGGUGUAUUAGUUAGUUGGUGAGGUAAUGGCUCACCAAGACAAUGAUACAUAGCCGAGUUGAGAGACUGACCGGCCACAAUGGGACUGAGACACGGCCCAUACUCCUACGGGAGGCAGCAGUAGGGAAUCUUCCACAAUGGACGAAAGUCUGAUGGAGCAACGCCGCGUGUGUGAUGAAGGGUUUCGGCUCGUAAAACACUGUUGUAAGAGAAGAAUGACAUUGAGAGUAACUGUUCAAUGUGUGACGGUAUCUUACCAGAAAGGAACGGCUAAAUACGUG
rnacentral:rRNA from 1 species